rnacentral:rRNA from 1 species
GUGUCAGCAGCCGCGGUAAUACGGAGGAUGCAAGCGUUAUCCGGAAUGAUUGGGCGUAAAGCGUCCGCAGGUGGCACUGUAAGUCUGCUGUUAAAGAGCAAGGCUCAACCUUGUAAAGGCAGUGGAAACUACAGAGCUAGAGUACGUUCGGGGCAGAGGGAAUUCCUGGUGUAGCGGUGAAAUGCGUAGAGAUCAGGAAGAACACCGGUGGCGAAAGCGCUCUGCUAGGCCGUAACUGACACUGAGGGACGAAAGCUAGGGGAGCGAAUGGGAUUAGAUACCCCCGUAGUCC